CAGCGUAGGGCGCAAGCGUUGUCCGGAAUUAUUGGGCGUAAAGAGCUCGUAGGCGGUCUGUUACGUUCUGCUGUGAAAACCCUGGGCUUAACCCUGGGCUUGCAGUGGAUACGGGCAGACUAGAGGCAGGUAGGGGAGAAUGGAAUUCCCGGUGUAGCGGUGAAAUGCGCAGAUAAUCGGGAGGAACACCGGUGGCGAAGGCGGUUCUCUGGGCCUG
rnacentral:rRNA from 1 species